UGAUGAUACAAUCCAGUGUGGCGCCUGCACUUUUCAAGAACAUUCACAGGAGAAGCAAUAUCAGGGUAGCCCGGCAGUGUAUCCAGGGCCCUGGACUCUGGAUCCUGCCAGGCCCGGAAACAGAGGUUCAAACAGAAACUGGACUUGAGGGCUGGAGGAGAAAGAAUGCAUUCGAUCCCCAGGGAGCAGAGGGGGCAGCCCUUCAGUGAGGCCCAAGAACUGCUUACUCUUGC